AUUGAACGCUGGCGGCAUGCUUUACACAUGCAAGUCGAACGGCAGCACGGACUUCGGUCUGGUGGCGAGUGGCGAACGGGUGAGUAAUGUAUCGGAACGUACCUUUCAGUGGGGGAUAACGUAGCGAAAGUUACGCUAAUACCGCAUAUUCUGUGAGCAGGAAAGCAGGGGAUCGCAAGACCUUGCGCUGAUUGAGCGGCCGAUAUCAGAUUAGCUAGUUGGUGAGGUAAAGACUCACCAAGGCGACGAUCUGUAGCGGGUCUGAGAGGAUGAUCCGCCACACUGGAACUGAGACACGGUCCAGACUCCUACGGGAGGCAGCAGUGGGGAAUUUUGGACAAUGGGGGCAACCCUGAUCCAGCCAUGCCGCGUGAGUGAAGAAGGCCUUCGGGUUGUAAAGCUCUUUCGGCCGGGAAGAAAUCGCAUAGGUUAAUACCCUGUGUGGAUGACGGUACCGGAAUAAGAAGCACCGGCUAACUACGUGCCAGCCGCCGCUGUAAGAC
rnacentral:rRNA from 1 species